GCUAACUCCGGGCCAGAGGCGGCGGUAAUACGGAGGGGGCAAGCGUUAAUGGGAAUUACUGGGCGUAAAGCGUGCGCAGGCGGCUUAUUAAGUCAGAUGUGAAAUCCCUAGGCUCAACCUAGGAACUGCAUUUGAAACUAAUAAACUAGAGUAUCGUAGAGGGAGGUAGAAUUCCAGGUGUAGCGGUGAAAUGCGUAGAUAUCUGGAGGAAUACCAGUGGCGAAGGCGACCUCCUGGACGAAAACUGACGCUCAAGCACGAAAGCAUGGGGAGCAAACAGGAUUAGAUACCCGAGUAGUC
rnacentral:rRNA from 1 species